AAAAACGAAAAGGUCAGAAUGAAUGGAAGAAGAGGGAAUGAUGAAUGUUUCGGUGAAAAUAGAGAGGGGAAAGGAGAAGGAGAUGCCCAGGUGAAAAGAGAAAGAAGAAGAAGCAGAAGUCAGAGCGAGGGCAUGAAAAACCCUAGCGCGGGUUCGAGAGAGGGAAAUAGAGAAGAUGAAUGCAUGAUAACCAGAAUGAUAAAUGCAAUCGGUAAAGAUGACCAAAAAGGGGCCAGGGAGAAGAAAAACCAUACCUUUGGAUGAUCGCAAGAGUUUGGGAAGCAGAAAAUUUGAAGAAAGAUGGGUGCGCAGAGGAGAAGUUCGCAGAGAGUCUGGGAGUCGAAUGAAGAAGAUGGAGGAACAGUGAAAGGGCGCGCCAAUUUGAAUAAGAGAAGCGCUAGCGACGCACAGCGCUGGCCGUUGAUGGGGCCACGUGUCGCGAGAUUAAGAGAAGAAGUCCAAACGUUAAAGACGCAGCACGUGAGGUGGCACGUGAGGCGGCCCCACUUGCCACGUGGACUGAGGGCACGACCACUUAGUCUCUUUGCUGAGAACGAGUUCUCGACUCGAGACUGGGGGGCUUGUGAUCCGAUCGGUCAUCGGUAGUCGAUGACG
rnacentral:lncRNA from 1 species